GCAGCAGCAGAGCGCGUGGCAGUGCAUUGUUAUUAUUAUUAUUAUUAUUAUUAUUAUUAUUAUUAUUAUUAUUAUUACACACUGCGGUGAGGGAAGAACAGUCAGUGGAUUUGGGAGAUGAAGAUUUAUGGAGUAUUUCUUCAGUUUUAACUCUCUGGACAUUUUCUUGGUUAAUUCGGCGACAUGAACUCCAGUGGAUUAUCAGACCAAGAGAUCACAGCUCUCUCUUCCGUGUAUGUCUCCUGUCUCAGUUUAAGGUCAGUUUCACUUUGAGUUCGAGUCUCACUGUACACACGAUUAACAUUUAACCCACACCUCGGUCCCAUGCCAUUACACAGCCUCAUAUCACAACACUUCACCCACUUUAUCAAACAUAAACACUGAGUGUGUGUGUGUGUGUGUGUGUGUGUGUGUGUGUGUGUUUGAGAUAAAAAUGAUUUGCAGGGUCAC
ensembl:lncRNA